rnacentral:rRNA from 1 species
UACGUAGGUGGCAAGCGUUUGUCCGGAUUUACUGGGCGUAAAGGGCGUGCAGGCGGUCUGUUAAGUGCAGGGUGAAAGCUCCCGGCUCAACUGGGAGAGGUCCUUGCAUACUGGCGGGACUUGAGGGGGGUAGAGGAAAGUGGAAUUCCCGGUGUAGUGGUGAUAUGCGUAGAUAUCGGGAGGAACGACCUGUGGCGGAAGGCGGCUUUCUGGGCCCUACCGUGACGCUGACGACGGCGAAAAGCGUGGGGAGCCAAACAGGG